GGGUCAGUAGGUUGGUCGUGCCACCGGUACGUACUGGUCUCACUGAUUCCUCCUUCCUGAAGAACCGUAAUGCCAUUAAUUUGGUGUUGCGGGGAAACAGGACUGUUACUUUGAAAAAAUUAGAGUGUUUAAAGCAAGCUAACACUUGAAUACAUUAGCAUGGAAUAAUGAAAUAGGACGAUCGAUCCUAUUUUGUUGGUUUCUAGGAUUGACGUA
rnacentral:rRNA from 1 species